rnacentral:lncRNA from 1 species
AUUUAUGACCUGCUUUUUUUUUUGGAAAAGCAGAAGAAACCCAAAUUAUAAUCCAUAAGGUAUUCACCUGAGCACAUGCUGACUUCAUGCUUUCAGGAAUGAAAUGCCUAACUCACCGGAUCGACUUGGGUCAGAGAUACUGAUAAACCUCUCAUGCCUUGAAAUUGCAGUGGAAAGCAAGUUCAGCCACUUGCCGCUUGAGAAGCCGAAUACACAAGAGGUG